CCCUUAGACGUUCUGGGCCGCACGCGCGCUACACUGACGAAGGCAACGAGCUUUCCUUUACCGAAAGGUACGGGUAAUCUUUUGAAACUUCGUCGUGCUGGGGAUAGAUCCUUGCAAUUAUUGAUCUUAAACGAGGAAUUCCUAGUAAGCGCAAGUCAUCAACUUGCGUUGAUUACGUCCCUGCCCUUUGUACACACCGCCCGUCGCUACUACCGAUUGAAUGGUUUAGUGAGGCCUUCGGAUCCGCGACUCGUUUGUGGAGAAGUUGGACAAACUCAGUCAUUUAGAGGAAGUAAAAGUCGUAACA
rnacentral:rRNA from 1 species